GCCCGCCUAGCUCAAUCGGAUAGAGCGUCAGACUUUUAAGGCGGGUUGUCUUGAUCUGAAGGCUGCGAGUUCGACCCUCGCGGUGGGCU
rnacentral:tRNA from 1 species